rnacentral:rRNA from 1 species
AGAGUUUGAUCCUGGCUCAGAUUGAACGCUGGCGGCAUGCUUUACACAUGCAAGUCGGACGGCAGCACAGAGAAGCUUGCUUCUUGGGUGGCGGGUGGCGAACGGGUGAGUAACAUAUCGGAACGUACCGAGCAGUGGGGGAUAACUAAUCGAAAGAUUAGCUAAUACCGCAUAUAUUCUGAGGAAGAAAGCAGGGGACCAUUUGGCCUUGCGCUGUUUGAGCGGCCGAUAUCUGAUUAGCUAGUUGGUGGGGUAAAGGCCUACCAAGGCGACGAUCAGUAGCGGGUCUGAGAGGAUGAUCCGCCACACUGGGACUGAGACACGGCCCAGACUCCUACGGGAGGCAGCAGUGGGGAAUUUUGGACAAUGGGCGCAAGCCUGAUCCAGCCAUGCCGCGUGUCUGAAGAAGGCCUUCGGGUUGUAAAGGACUUUUGUCAGGGAAGAAAAGGGCGGGGUUAAUACCCCUGUCUGAUGACGGUACCUGAAGAAUAAGCACCGGCUAACUACGUGCCAGCAGCCGCGGU